rnacentral:rRNA from 1 species
CGGCCACACAUGUGAACUGAGACACGGUCCACACUCCUACGGGAGGCAGCAGGUAGGGCAAUCCUUCCGCGAUGGGCGAAAGCCUGACGGAGCAACGCCGCGUGAGUGAAGAAGGUCUUCGGAUCGUAAAACUCUGUUAUUAGGGAAGAACAAAUGUGUAAGUAACUAUGCACGUCUUGACGGUACCUAAUCAAAAAGCCACGGCUAACUACGUGCCAGCACCCGCGGUAAUACGUAGGUGGCAAGCGUUAUCCGGAAUUAUUGGGCGUAAAGCGCGCGUAGGCGGUUUUUUAAGUCUGAUGUGAAACCCCACGGCUCACCCGUGGAGGGUCAUUGGAAACUGGAAAACUUGAGUGCAAAAGAGGAAAGUGGAAUUCCGUGUGUAGCGGUGAAAUGCGCAGAGAUAUGGAGGAACACCAGUGGCGAAGGCGACUUUCUGGUCUGUAACUGACGCUGAUGUGCGAAAGCGUGGGGAUCAAACAGGAUUAUAUACCCUGGUACACCACGCCGUAAACGAUGAGUGCUAAGUGUUAGGGGGUUUCCGCCCCUUAGUGCUGCAGCUAACGCAUUAAGCACUCCGCCUGGGGAGUACCACCGCAGGGUUGAAACUCAAAUGAAUUGACGGACUC